rnacentral:lncRNA from 1 species
UUUUUUUUAUGUGAACUCUAUUUUUCUAGCUUUUUUUAGCUGCAAAGUUAUUAAUAAUAUUCUUAUAAUCAAUUUCUUCUAAAGAGUGUUUCUCAAUUGACAAUAUAGCUAAUUCAUUUAACCUCUCUUGAGACAUUGUUGAUCUUAGGUAAGAAUAAUUUUAAUUUUGAAAAACUUCUUUCCGUUGAAGCAACGGUAACAAAAGCAAUUAACAUUAUUUUAUAAGCAAUAUAAACAUUUGAAAAAGAAUCAAAUUUUUUUAUUUGAUUGAAUAUAUCAAUUAAACUAUUAUCUUCUAAUUAUACUAUUUUUCUUAACACUACUAAUUUAUAAAAUAAAUCUAAACCAUAAAUAUCUGAUUGAUUAUUAUGCUUUAAGGAACAUUCUGAUUAAGACAAUAUUUUUUCAAAUUUCUAUCAUCUAGUGAUCUCAGUUUUUUUACCGCUAAAUAGAAAACCAAAAAUAUUUUCAUAUGCUUCAAAGUAUUCAAAUUUGUUGUGAAAUAAAAAAUUAGCCUAAUCUACUAUGUAUAAAAAGUAAUCAACUCUAAAGGACUCUUCAAGAGAUUUUGAAAUUUCAUUAUCAACAUUUUCAUCAAAUUAUUUCUUCCUACAUAUCACACGUUAUUUGCGUUCGAUAUUCAUUUCAAAUGUAAUUUCCUUGACAUAAAUCAUAGCAAUUGCUAAUCCUUCUUCUCUAUAUUUGUUAAAGAAAGAAUCAAACAUUUUCAUUCACAACAUUUUUAGGUGUAAUAAAAAAUAAGACCCCCAUAAAUAUGGGGCCUAAAACGUUGUUUUACCCGCUUUAAAGAAGGGAUGCCCCUGUUUAGAAUUGGACAUAAGUUCACAAACAUAGAAACACACUUCCAACCUUGGAAAAUAGUGACAAAUAUAGAACAAUAUAUAUUGCUUCCCUAGAUUUAUCAAAAUUGAGCAAAUAUUUCCUUUUCUUCAACUUCCUUUAAAUAUACUUACAAAAUCAAACUCAAGCUCAAGUACGCCUUAUUUCUUCAUCGUUUUCUACCCACUAUCUUAUGCUACGUGAUCAACUAAAUAUAUCAGUUGCUAUCCGUGUUUGUACUAUAAACAAAAGAGAACAUAGUCCAACUAAGAGCCACAUAAAGUAUGGCAAAUAUUUUGU